rnacentral:rRNA from 1 species
CUAAAUACUACCCAGUGACCGAUAGCGUAUAGUACUGUGAAGGAAAGGUGAAAAGCACCCCGGGAGGGGAGUGAAAAAGAACCUGAAACCCUGUGCCUACAAGCACCUAGAGCACGUCAAUGUGUGAUAGGGUACUUUUUGUAGAACGGUCCGGCGAGCGAUUGUAUGCAGCAAGGUUAAGGACUUAAGGUCUGGAGCCGAAGCGAAAGCGAGUUUGAAAAGGGCGUUAAGUUGCAUAUAAUGGGCCCGAAACCGGGUGACCUACCCAUGGUCAGGUUGAAGUGGAAGUAAAAUUCCAUGGAGGACCGAACCGACCUCCGUUGAAAAGGCGGCGGAUGAACUGUGGGUAGCGGAGAAAUUCCAAUCGAACCCGGAGAUAGCUGGUUCUCCCCGAAAUAGUUUUAGGACUAGCCUCAAGUUAGAUACCUGGAGGUAAAGCACUGAAUAGCCUAGCGGCCGAGAGGUUAGCGAAGCUUAUCAAACUCAGAAUGCCAGAGUAUUGAUGCUUGGGAGUCAGACAGUGUCAGAUAAAUGUCAUUGUCAAAAGGGAAACAGCCCAGAUCUACAGCUAAGGUCCCAAAGUCAGGUUAAGUGGAAAACGAUGUGAAGAUACGCAGACAACCAGGAUGUUGGCUCAGAAGCAGCCACUCAUUCAAAGAGUGCGUAAUAGCUCACUGGUCGAGCGUCUUUGCGCGGAGAAUUUAACGGGGCUAAACCUGACACCGAAGCUUAGGCAAUACAGCAAUGUAUUGGGUAGGGGAGCGUUGUAUACGCGGUGAAACAGUAGCGCAAGCGGCUGUGGAGUGUAUAGAAGUGAGAAUGCCGGAAUGAGUAGCGCGAAUGCAGUGAGAAUCUGCAUGGCCGAAAGCCUCAGGUUUUUGGAGGAAGGUUCGUCCGCUCCAAGUUAGUCGGGAGCUAAGGUGAGGCCGGAAGGCGUAGCCGAUGCACAGACGGUAGAGAUUCCGUCACCACCAAAAGAGUUAAGCACAGGGACACAUUUGAAGUCUCAGAGCCGGGUGUUGGUUCCGGUAGAGAUCGAGGGAAAUUAGUACCGAAGUCUGGGAUGGAAGAUGGCGAGAAAAGCUGUGUGUAUUUCUGAGGUGCCCGUACCGCAAACCGACACAGGUAGGUAGGAAGAAGAUUCUAAGGCCAACGGGAGAAGGGUUGUUAAGGAACUCGGCAAAUUGACCCCGUAACUUCGGGAGAAGGGGUGCUCCAGAGAUGGAGCCGCAGAGAAUCGGCCCAAGCAACUGUUUACCAAAAACACAGGUUUGUGCUAAAUCGAAAGAUGACGUAUACGAGCUGACGCCUGCCCGGUGCUGGAAGGUUAAGAGGAGAUGUGCAAGCAUUGAAUCGAAGCCCCAGUGAACGGCGGCCGUAACUAUAACGGUCCUAAGGUAGCGAAAUUCCUUGUCAGGUAAGUUCUGACCCGCACGAAAGGCGUAAUGAUUUGGGCACUGUCUCAACAGCCCGCCCGGCGAAAUUGUAGUACCGGUGAAGAU